CAGCAGCCACGGUAAUACAGAGGGUGCAAGCGUUAAUCGGAAUUACUGGGCGUAAAGCGCGCGUAGGUGGUUUGUUAAGUUGGAUGUGAAAGCCCCGGGCUCAACCUGGGAACUGCAUCCAAAACUGGCAAGCUAGAGUACGGUAGAGGGUGGUGGAAUUUCCUGUGUAGCGGUGAAAUGCGUAGAUAUAGGAAGGAACACCAGUGGCGAAGGCGACCACCUGGACUGAUACUGACACUGAUGUGCGAAAGCGUGGGGAGCAAACAGGAUUAGAUACCCCGGUAGUCCCUGUCUCUUAUAC
rnacentral:rRNA from 1 species